rnacentral:rRNA from 1 species
GCUACAGGCUUAACACAUGCAAGUCGAGGGGCAGCGCAGUGUAGCAAUACAUGGGCGGCGACCGGCGCACGGGUGCGUAACGCGUAUCCAACCUUCCCGUUACUCUCGGAUAGCCUUCCGAAAGGGAGAUUAAUACGAGAUGGUGUUGAAAUUCCGCAUGUUAUUUCAACUAAAGAUUCAUCGGUAACGGAUGGGGAUGCGUGACAUUAGGUAGAUGGCGGGGUAACGGCCCACCAUGCCCACGAUGUCUAGGGGUUCUGAGAGGAAGGUCCCCCACACUGGAACUGAGACACGGUCCAGACUCCUACGGGAGGCAGCAGUGAGGAAUAUUGGUCAAUGGCCGAGAGGCUGAACCAGCCAAGUAGCGUGAAGGAUGAAGGUUCUAUGGAUUGUAAACUUCUUUUAUACGGGAAUAAAACCUCCCACGUGUGGGAGCUUGUAUGUACCGUAUGAAUAAGCAUCGGCUAACUCCGUGCCAGCAGCCGCGGUAAUACGGAGGAUGCGAGCGUUAUCCGGAUUUAUUGGGUUUAAAGGGAGCGUAGGUGGUCUGUUAAGCCAGCUGUGAAAUACUGUAGCUCAACUACAGCCGUGCAGUUGGAACUGGCGGACUUGAGUGCACUAGAGGAAGGUGGAAUUCGUGGUGUAGCGGUGAAAUGUUUAGAUAUCACG